rnacentral:lncRNA from 1 species
UUACUGUUUAUUUUUGGUGUGGGAGUUUGAAUAUUUGCUGUCUCUUUCUUUGAUGUGAGAAGGCUGUUAUUCCCAGGAUGCUCAGUGUGUUUUCAGGGAGAAGGAGACAAUGGGUAGGGCCAGCAGUCAGUGCCUGGUUGCUGGGUUCUCAACAGUAGCAAGUACCUGCAGGAAGGAGGCACAGGCUUCUCCUAGUUGCAGGGACCUGGGAAGUGGUAAUAGGCUCUAGGCAGAUCCUUAAGGUGACCAGAGCAUUUGGUAGAAGCAGCAGCAGGGUGCGUGAGUUCCCAGGGGAAGAGAGCAACAACAGCUUGUGUUUGAUUGCAGUGCCCUCCUCUGAGGUGAUUGGAACUGCAGGUGGUGCCUGUUCAGGGACCUCUAGUGGGAGCGGGCCAUGACUGUCUCUAGAGUCAGUGAUAACUGUCGUGGUUUGCCCCCACAACCUGUAGACCAUGCAUGAAGCAAUCUGUCUCACUUAGACCACAUAAGAGGUGCUGUACAGGUUGCUCCUAGUUGCAGGAUCCUGGGAAGUGAUAGAGAUCAGGCGUGUGGGUACUGCUUGGAACAUUUGGCAGUGGCAGCAGCAGGGCAGGUGUGUUCCCAGGGGUGUGAAGCACCAACAGGUGGUGUUUGGUUAGAAUGCACUCCUCUGUGGUGCCCUUGAGGUGAAUGGGGCAAGUGGUGUCUGUUCACAGACCCCUACUGGUGGCAAGCCACUCCCACCUCUGGCUCCAGAGAUAACUCUGGUGGUUUCCCCUCACCUCCUAUAGACCAUGCUAGAAACAUCUUGUCCUGCUUAGCCCCCACAGGAGGUGCUGCAGAAGCUGCUCCUAGUUGCAGGUUCCUGGGAAGGGACAGUGAUCAAGCCCAGAGUUUUUGGCAGUGGCAACAGCCAGGCGGGUAUGCUCCCAGAGGAGCAAGAGCAGCAACAGGUGGUAUUCUGUUGCAAUGUCCUUCUCUGUGGUGCCCUCUGAGGUGGUUGGAGCUGCAAGUGAUUUUUGUUCAGGUAUCCCCAGUGGCAGUAGGCCAUGCCCACUUCUGGAAUCAGGGAUAACUUCAGCAGUUUGCCCCUGCUGCCUGCAGGCCAUACAAGAAGCACCCUAUCCCACUUAGCCCAUGAAGGAGAUGCUGCACCAGCUGCUACUAGUUGUAGAGUCUUGGGAAGGGACAGUGAUCAAGUGUCUGGGUGCUGCCCAGAGUGUUUGGCAGUGGCAGCUACAGGGUGGGUGUGUUCCCAGGGGAGUGAGAGUAGCAGCGUAUGGUACUUUGUUGCGGUGCCCUCUUUUUUCUUUUUUUGCCAGCCCCUGAGGUGACUGGGGUCACAGGUGGAGCCCACUCACAGGCCCCCAGUGGUGGCAAGCCAUGUCUUCCUCUGGCCUCUGAGACAACCACUGCUGUCUGUCCCUGCCAUCUGUAGAUCAUGCAAGAGGCACCACAUUGUAAUUAUCCCCCUGAUGCCUUUAGCCCACACAAGAGUUUCCUUGGCACCUGUAGCCUGCACAAGGAGCACCCAGUCUCCCCUAAAUGAGCGAGAGGCUUCUUGCCACUCAUAGCCUGUGCCAGAGCUGCCCCACACUCUGAGAUCCUGUGGGCAUGUGCAUGCUCCAGUGCAGGGAGUUUCCUAUGGCGUCUGCCCCUGCUCCCCUCACUCUCCCCAACAAUGCCCCUCAGGCUCUCUCCACACAGCCAGCUCCAGUCCUCUCCCUGGGACUGACCUCUGGAGCCUGAGUCUCAGCACCCAGCCCCACCUGAGCUUCUCAGGCUGUGGUGUCCAAGCCAGUGGUUCAGAUGAUCUGUGUGGCUCUCACUGUGCUUUGCCAUUCUCAGUCCAGCUGCUGUGCUUUUCUCAGAGACUUUGAGGUCCUACAGACUUGACUGAUCUUUCUGUCGGUUACGAGGCUUCCCAGGAUGUGGGUUCCUUUUCUCCUUCACUGCUCCCUCUUGGGAAUGUUAGUUCCGUCCUGAUUCUUUUUCUCUCUCUCUCUUUUUCUCUUUUGUUCUACCCCAGUUAUGUCAAGAGUUUCUUGUCCUUUUUGGAGGUUUAAGUUCUUCUGCCAGCAUUUAGUUGAUGUUCUGUGCAAAUCGUUUUACAUGUUGAUGUGUGUGUUUUUUUUUAAUGUGUUUGUGGGAGAAGGUGUGCACGACCACUUACUCCUCCGCCGUCUUGUUCUGCCUCCUCCCCUCUCCUUUUUGAUAACCACACGUUUCUUUUCUAUGUCUGUGAGUUUGUUUCUAUUUUCUGUAUACUGGGACUCGCUUUCUUGAUUUGUAAAAUGGGAGUGGAUAAAAGUACCUCAUUGCUGUGAGGGUUACCUGAGAGAACACCUAUAAAGCACUUAGCAGUGUCUGGUAUGCAGGAAGUAUUUAAUAAAUAUGGUGAUGAUGGAAGUGGGCGUGGUGAAAGAAGUAAGCACACUGCUUCGGUUCUUCAAAUGAAAUCUUACAUGGAAGCUAAAUGCAUGAAUUCUGUUGGGUCGGUACAGAGCUUACCUUACUCUGCACUGCCAUAGAACAACCAGUGCUCAAAUAUGUUCAUACAAAUAGUUUAGAAGUGAUGAUUCUUUGCUUGAAAUUAGGGAAAAGAAGUGACAGCAGUCAAUGGAAGGGCUGGAAAAGCACUGUGGGCAAAGGCGUUAGCUGAUUUGGAUUUAAUUAGGGCUCUGCUGCUUUUGGCUUGCAUGACUCUUGGCAAGUGCCUUACCCUUUCUGAGCCUCAGUUUCCUCUUCCCUGGAGUCGUGAUAGCAAUACUCACUCACUGAGGCUGUUUCCAGAACUUUGUGAGAUAAGGGCUUGUGGUUGGACUUUGAAGAUGUACUGGCCUGCAACUCAUGGUUUUUGUUGAGGAGAUUAUACUAGGAUAAAAAUGAGUUUGAUAUAGAGUUGCAAAGGGGGCUUUCUUUGUGCAUUACAUUAGACACCAAGGCUUCCAUUUCAUUUUAAAAGAUGCAGUUCCCCAGCUGACCUCAUUUACUUGGAAAUCCUAGAGCAGCAACAUAACACUUUGAAGCUAAGUGGUUAAUUUUCUUUGGAGGGAUUUCCUCCUCUGGUUAUUGGAUGCUGUGCUUAUGUUCUUUGAACCCUUGUAGUGGGGGGGAAGCCCUUAUAUGACAAUGGAUUUAGUAGCAGCUGGAUGGGGGCUGAUGAGGGUUGGCCCCAGAGCCUAGCCUCACUAGCUGAGGUAGAGGAUGUGCCAACUUCAACUUCAAGCCAUGGGGGCCCAGCAGCAAACUGCAGGGAAGCAGUAGUAGCCCAUGGUGUGGCCUGUUGUGCUACCGUCAUUCUUGUCAGUGUCACCAUCAUCAUCAUUAAACCUUCGUUAAGUGCUGGUGUGUGGAGCUCCCUUUGGUGCCAUUGUAGACAGAUAGACAGCUGUGUGUUUUAAAUAUGAGCCUUGUGAAGGACUGUGAAGUGAAGGGGUCCAGUUGUAAUCCAAGGCAGGUCCACAAGCAUGGCUGCAUGGGCUAAUAAAAGGAUUGUUGGUGGCUGUAGUAGACAUUUGUUUGUGGUGUCAGCUUAGCCCCUGGCCCCUUUCUUUGAGAAGGACCCCCAACUCCCACCCUCAAGGGUGCCUGGUAGGCAUGUUUGUACUGUAUAAUUCAGCUACCAUGGCGAUGCCUAAGUGGAUCAAGGAUGCACAGUUGACUCAAGCUGGACCACUCAGAUUAUCUCUUCAAGAAGUUAGAUUUGGGACUAGGACAUAUUUGUAGGAAGACAGGGAUACUGAGAGCUCUUGGAAGCCACGUCUUUGGUUAAUAGAGUAAUCCCAUAACAGCCCUUUAAGGUAGGUCCUCUUCUCACUCUCAUUUUAUAGAAAAGGAAAUGAGUCAUAGAGAGAUUAAGUACUUUACCCAAGGUCAUAAGAUUAGGUAGUGGCAGGGCCAGGCAUGAACUGGGCAGCAUGAGCCACUUUAAAACUGUCUUUCUUAGAGAGAGGGAGGAAUGAAGCAAGUCUACUGAGAGAUGCAGGUUAAAUAACUCUGAAAUCACAGGGAGGGAAGAUGAGAGAGGGAGAAUAAGAUGGAUUGAGAUCAAGACAGCCUUGAUUCUAUAGGCUUUCUGGCUCCAGAAUCCAGAUCUUAGUGACAGCAGUUUCUACCGUUGGGCUUUCAGAAGCAUCUUUAUGUCCUUAUAAAUAAAUUCCCCGUUUUGUGCACAAAGUAGUUUCAAUGGUUGCCUAUUACGUGCAAUCAAAAGAAUGUUGACUAAGUGACCACACUCUCACAAUUUGUUAUAAAAGACUGUAGAUCAUUUAUUGGCCUUUGUAGCCCUAGAUAUCUUUACAUUAUCUAUAGCUGGGGUCCAGGCUAGUGGAGAGAGGCAGUAAUUGGAGCAUACCAAAUUCUUUGAGACAGGUAAACCUAAAUCCCCAUAGAAACACAGAGGUGCAGCAAAAAAACCCAAAAACCAAAAACAAACAAAACAACAACAACAACAACAAAACGAGACUAGGGUAAGUUGUGGAGAAUCAGGGAUGGCUUCUCAGAGGGGGGAUAUUUGAGCUGUUUUUGUAGAGUGACUAGGAUUCAGUUGUAUAAAGAAUGGUUGGGAGGAAGGAUUUUCCAGGCAGUGUAAAUAGUAUAUGCCCCCUCCCCCCCAAAAAAAGAAAAAGAAAAGGAAAGUGAAGGCUAUGAAACACUUUGGAAAGGAAAAGCAGUUGUGUGAUGGAGAAGAAGGAGGAAAGAGAGAUUGGAUAUACAACUGGAGUUUUUGGCUGGACCAGAUCUUACAGGCUCUCCGCUACUUAACUAUGCAGUUUGACCCUUAUCCUAUAAGCUAGCAGUUCAUUCACUAUGAAUUCUUGCCCUCCUUCCAACAUGAAAAUGUGUGGAUUUUGAAAUGGAAAAGGUGACAUUCUGACAACAUUAAAGACAGUUUUAGGGGGUGAAAAAACCUCAUGCACACAUGAAAAACCCCAUUCAGAAUCCCAACACUGAAUACUGCUGUUUUCGUUUUCUAGUUGUCCCCAAACAUGCCAAUUUUUAUACAUGGUUGCAAUUCAUCUAUGUACUAUUUUCACUUCCCAGUAGAUUAAAAAGCUUUUCUAUAUUUCUGUAUCCUCCUCUCCUAAUUAUUCUAAUAGCAUGAUAAGGAUUCAAGUUUUUCCACAUAGUCAUACCGCUCCAGGCGAUAGGUUAGGUCCUGGUGGCAAAGAUGUAUGAGCUGAAGAUUCCUGCUUUUGUGCAAUGCAGGACCUGGUAUAAUACUUCUGCUGAAGUAUUUAGCCAUACAUGUUUAAGAACAUGUGGUUUACUAUUAAUAAUUUAUGAAACUUGUAUUCAUUUCUUUAAGGAAUGAUUUCUAAUUCCUUUUAUCUGUAAUCACUGUCCCCUUGUUCCCACCCCCAUCAUACAUGCUCCGUGGCAAACAAAUGGCUGCAGCGUCAUGUGUUUUAGUGUUCAUGCACUACUUACCUAGUAUCUUUUUCUUAUCUUAUGCUCCAAGUCCUCUGAAAGCCAUUUGAUGGGAAACCAUAACGGAUUCCAAAUCAAGCUCUUGAGCCGGGUUAAUGUGAUUCUGAAAUAUUAUCUUGAUUGUGGCAAGUGUCCAGUUGUCAUCUUUUUAAUGAUACAGGCAUCCACAGCCUAAACUAAUUACAAACCAGCUCCAUUUCGGGGAGGGUGGCAUUGCCUUACCAGACUCCUCAAGCCAGACUCAAGAAUGUGGAUGAUGUGAUCCCAUCUGCUUUUCUUUCCUCUGGCCUUCUGUGGUUAAGGUCUAUGUCAUUCUCUCUCCCUUCCUGCUCCUGUGUUAAAGAAAGCAGGGGUGAUUGGCCAAAAUUGCUCCUUAAAUUAAAUUUUGCCUCCUACCUCCAGCAUAAUCAUGAGCUUCCAAAUUAAAGAUGCAGAUAAUUUUGCAAUCAGAUUUACAUUUUGGUCUGUAAUGAGUUUAAAGUGUUUUUAACAUGCUUUAGUUUUCCCUUUUAUCACGCUUUUUGUUGACUUAAUUUAGCUCUGUGGUUUGAGUUGUAUUUUACGGUUGGUUUUCGCUCUAGUCUCUACAUCCCAAACUCCUCAUUUUCUUCAUCCCUAGUCUUGUAUGUAUUGCAGAAAAGAUAGUGAC